GAGGGUAUAGCUCAGCGGUAGAGAGCAUGCCUAGCAUGCAUUAGGUCCUGGGUUCAAUUCCCAGUACCUCUA
rnacentral:tRNA from 1 species